GACGAACGCUGGCGGCGUGCUUAACACAUGCAAGUCGAACGGAAAGGCCUGCUUUCCUUUGUGGAUUGCGGGUACUCGAGUGGCGAACGGGGGAGUAACACGUGAGUGAUCUGCCCCCAACUUGUGUAUAAGCCUGGGAAACUGGGUCUAAUCCCCGAUAGGACUGCAGGGUGGUGCCUGUGGUGGAAAACGAUUUUCUAGUGGUUGGGGAUGAGUUCGAGGCUUAUGAGCUUGUUGGUGGGGCAAUGGCCGACCAAGCCGGGGACGGGUAGCCAGACUGGGAGGGGGGACAGCGAAAUUGAGACUGGGAUACGGCCCAGACGCGUACGGGAGGCAGCAGUGGGGAAUAUUGCACAAUGGGCGGGAGCCUGAUGCAGCGAGGCCGCGUGGAAGAUGACGGCCUUGGAGUUGUAAUCUCCUUUCAACCACGAGGAGGCCGCCUGGUUGGAGGGGUGGUGACGGUAGUGGUAGAAGAAGCACCGGCUAACUACGUG
rnacentral:rRNA from 1 species